AUGAGAAUCAAGGUUUGGUUUUGGCUGUAUUGAGUCUGAGAUGCCCAAGAGACACAUCCAAGUGCAGUUGUGGAGUAGGUGAAUAGAUCAAUGAGUCUCUCAAGUUCAAGAGAAAAGUAUUUCAAGUUAUUGAACUGGAUGAGAUCAGCUAGAGGAGCAGGUCAUUUUGUUCUAAUCCAGGGCCUGCGUAUACCAUGUUGCACCUGGGAGACCUUAGUGUUUACUUCUUGAGGGAAAGAUGCCAUCACUCACCAACUUACAGGCAUGUAACUUGAUGGUCUCACUAAUGUGCACUUUCUCUCUUUUAGUUUACCUACUUUCUUGAUAAUGUCCUUUUCCGGUUCACUAUUCUAAUUGGCUUCUUCGAUCUGCCCUGAUGAUAUACAUCACCUUCUUUACCUAUCAGGCCAUUAUACUUAGCUUACGGAAUGUUCUGAAAAUACUGAAUGCCUUCAUUGAGGGGGUGACAAGUUGAAAAGUUUCAGGUAUGCAAUAUAGUGAUUCAACAAUUCUAUACAUUACUCAGUGCUCACGAAGAUAAGUGUACUUCACCCAUCUCUCCCAUCCCCCCACCCACCUCCCCUCUGGUAACCACCUGUUUGUUUAUAUAGUUAAA